AUUGAACGCUGGCGGCAUGCCUUACACAUGCAAGUCGAACGGCAGCACGGGAGCAAUCCUGGUGGCGAGUGGCGAACGGGUGAGUAAUAUAUCGGAACGUGCCCAGUCGUGGGGAUAACGUAGCGAAAGCUACGCUAAUACCGCAUACGAUCUAUGGAUGAAAGCGGGGGAUCGCAAGACCUCGCGCGAUUGGAGCGGCCGAUAUCAGAUUGGGUAGUUGGUGAGGUAAAGGCUCACCAAGCCGACGAUCUGUAGCUGGUCUGAGAGGACGACCAGCCACACUGGGACUGAGACACGGCCCAGACUCCUACGGGAGGCAGCAGUGGGAAUUUUGGACAACUGGGCGCAAGGCCUGAUCCAGCAAUGCCGCGUGCCAGGAUGAAGGCCU
rnacentral:rRNA from 1 species